UACGGAGGAUCCAAGCGUUAUCCGGAUUUAUUGGGUUUAAAGGGUGCGUAGGCGGCCUGUUAAGUCAGGGGUGAAAGACGGUAGCUCAACUAUCGCAGUGCCCUUGAUACUGAUGGGCUUGAAUACACUAGAGGUAGGCGGAAUGUGACAAGUAGCGGUGAAAUGCAUAGAUAUGUCACAGAACACCGAUUGCGAAGGCAGCUUACUAUGGUGUCAUUGACGCUGAGGCACGAAAGCGUGGGGGAUCAAACAGG
rnacentral:rRNA from 1 species